GCGAAUGGCUCAUUAAAUCAGUUAUCGUUUAUUUGAUAGUACCUUACUACUUGGAUAACCGUGGUAAUUCUAGAGCUAAUACAUGCUGAAAACCCCAACUUCGGGAGGGGUGUAUUUAUUAGAUAAAAAACCAACGCCCUUCGGGGCUUCUUGGUGAUUCAUGAUAACUUAACGGAUCGCAUGGCCUUGCGCCGGCGACGGUUCAUUCAAAUUUCUGCCCUAUCAACUUUCGAUGGUAAGGUAUUGGCUUACCAUGGUUUCAACGGGUAACGGGGAAUUAGGGUUCGAUUCCGGAGAGGGAGCCUGAGAAACGGCUACCACAUCCAAGGAAGGCAGCAGGCGCGCGCAAUAUCCAAUCCCGACACGGGAGAUAGUGACAAUAAAUACUGAUACAGGGCUCUUUGGGUCUUGUAAUUGGAAUGAGUACAAUUUAAACCUCUUAACGAGGAACAAUUGGAGGGCAAGUCUGGUGCAGCAGCCGCGGUAAUUCCAGCUCCAAUAGCGUAUAUUAAAGUUGUUGCAGUUAAAAAGCUCGUAGUUGAAACUUGGGUCUGGCUGGCAGGUCCGCCUCACCGCGUGUACUUGUCCGGCCGGGCCUUCCUUCUGGAGAACCUCAUGCCCUUCACUGGGCGUGUUGGGGACCAGAACUUUUACUUUGAAAAAAUUAGAGUGUUCAAAGCAGGCCUUUGCUCGAAUACGUUAGCAUGGAAUAAUAAAAUAGGACGUGCGGUCCUAUUUUGUUGGUUUCUAGGACCGCCGUAAUGAUUAAUAGGGACAGUCGGGGGCAUCAGUAUUCAAUUGUCAGAGGUGAAAUUCUUGGAUUUAUUGAAGACUAACUACUGCGAAAGCAUUUGCCAAGGAUGUUUUCAUUAAUCAGUGAACGAAAGUUAGGGGAUCGAAGACGAUCAGAUACCGUCGUAGUCUUAACCGUAAACUAUGCCGACUAGGGAUCGGGCGAUGUUCUUUUUCUGACUCGCUC
rnacentral:rRNA from 1 species